AACGAACGCUGGCGGCAUGCCUAACACAUGCAAGUCGAACGGGAUCCUAGCUUGCUAGGUGAGAGUGGCGGACGGGUGAGUAACACGUGGGAAUCUGCCUUUUGGUUCGGGAUAACCGCGGGAAACUGCGGCUAAUACCGAAUGCCCUCGAGAGAGGAAAGAUUUAUCGCCAGAAGAGGAGCCCGCGUCCGAUUAGGUAGUUGGUGGGGUAAAGCCUACCAAGCCGACGAUCGGUAGCUGGUCUGAGAGGAUGAUCAGCCACACUGGGACUGAGAUACGGCCCAGACUCCUACGGGAGGCAGCAGUGGGAAUAUUGGACAAUGGGGCAACCCUGAUCCAGCAAUGCCGCGUGAGUGAUGAAGGCCUUAGGGUUGUAAGCUCUUUUGCCAGGAAGAUGAUGACUGUACCUGGAGAAUAAGCCCGGCUAACUUCGUGCCAGCAGCC
rnacentral:rRNA from 1 species